UACGUAGGGUGCGAGCGUUAAUCGGAAUUACUGGGCGUAAAGCGUGCGCAGGCGGUUUUGUAAGCCAGAUGUGAAAUCCCCGGGCUUAACCUGGGAAUGGCAUUUGGGACUGCAAGGCUGGAGUGUGGCAGAGGGAGGUAGAAUUCCACGUGUAGCAGUGAAAUGCGUAGAGAUGUGGAGGAAUACCGAUGGCGAAGGCAGCCUCCUGGGCCAACACUGACGCUCAUGCACGAAAGCGGUGGGAGCAAAAGGG
rnacentral:rRNA from 1 species